rnacentral:rRNA from 1 species
GUAGGUGACCUGCGGAAGG